rnacentral:rRNA from 1 species
UGAAUACGAGACGCUAAGGCGUCGAAGUAGUGUAUGUCAUACUUCCAAGAAAAGCUUGCACUGUCAUAGAUAAAAAACGCCUGUACCAUAACCGACACAGGUGGGUAGGUAGAGUAUACUAAGGGGCGCGAGAUAACUCUCUCUAAGGAACUCGGCAAAAUAACUCCGUAACUUCGGGAGAAGGAGUGCCUUAUUCGUAAGGUUGCAAUAACAAGAUCCAAGCAACUGUUUAUCAAAAACACAGGUCUCCGCUAAGUCGUAAGACGAUGUAUGGGGGCUGACGCCUGCCCAGUGCCAGAAGGUUAAAGAAGUUGGUUAGCAAUUGCGAAGCUGAUAACUGAAGCCCUGGUGAACGGCGGCCGUAACGAUAACGGUCCUAAGGUAGCGAAAUUCCUUGUCGGGUAAGUUCCGACCCGCACGAAAGGCGUAAUGAUUUGGAUACUGUCUCGGAGAGGGGCUCGGUGAAAUAGACUUGUCUGUGAAGAUGCGGACUACCUGCACCAGGACAGAAAGACCCUAUGAAGCUUUACUGUAACUUGAAAUUGAAAUUGGACUUUAUUCGCGCAGUAUAGGUGGGAGGCGUUGAUUAUAAUCUUGUGGGAUUAUUGGAGCCAUCAGUGAGAUACCACUCUUGUAAUGUUAGAUUUCUAACUUUGAAUCAUUAUCUGGUCAAAGAACAGUUUCAGGCGGGCAGUUUGACUGGGGCGGUCGCCUCCUAAACGGUAACGGAGGCGUACAAAGGUUUCCUCUGAACGGUUAGAAAUCGUAUCUAGAGUGUAAAGGCAUAAGGAAGCUUGACUGUGAGACCUACAAGUCGAGCAGGGACGAAAGUCGGUCUUAGUGAUCUGACGGUACUGAGUGGAAAGGCCGUCACUCAACGGAUAAAAGUUACUCUAGGGACAACAGGCUGAUCUCCCCCAAGAGUUCACAUCGACGGGGAGGUUUGGCACCUCGAUGUCGGCUCAUCGCAUCCUGGGGCGGUAGUACGUCCCAAGGGUUGGGCUGUUCGCCCAUGAAAGCGGUACGCGAGCUGGGUUCAGAACGUCGUAAGACAGUUCGGUCCAUAUCCGGUGUAGGCGUUAGAAUAUUGAGAGGAGCCUUCUUUAGUACGAGAGGACCGAGAAGGACAUACCUCUGGUGUACCAGUUAUCGUGCCAACGGUAAACGCUGGGUAGCUAUGUAUGGAGUGGAUAACCGCUGAAAGCAUCUAAGUGGGAAGCCCACCUCAAGAUAAGUAUUCUCAC